rnacentral:lncRNA from 1 species
UCAAAACGUUAAUCUUGAAGGAGCAAAAGUUUGUUCAUGAACUGUCAUGCUCGCUAGGCGAAGCCCACGCGUUUCGAAAAAAAAAAUGAAAAAAAAAUUAAAUAAAUAAAUAAAUAAAAUAUAACAGAAAAAUCUUGGACUUGGACCUCUCUCUUUUGAGCCCACAAAGUCACAAAAAUCAGGUUAUAAAUUCUAGACUUCC